rnacentral:rRNA from 1 species
GAUGAACGCUGGCGGCGUGCCUAAUACAUGCAAGUCGAGCGAACAGACAAGGAGCUUGCUCCUUUGACGUUAGCGGCGGACGGGUGAGUAACACGUGGGUAACCUACCUAUAAGACUGGGAUAACUUCGGGAAACCGGAGCUAAUACCGGAUAAUAUUUCGAACCGCAUGGUUCGAUAGUGAAAGAUGGUUUUGCUAUCACUUAUAGAUGGACCCGCGCCGUAUUAGCUAGUUGGUAAGGUAACGGCUUACCAAGGCGACGAUACGUAGCCGACCUGAGAGGGUGAUCGGCCACACUGGAACUGAGACACGGUCCAGACUCCUACGGGAGGCGGCAGUAGGGAAUCUUCCGCAAUGGGCGAAAGCCUGACGGAGCAACGCCGCGUGAGUGAUGAAGGUCUUCGGAUCGUAAAACUCUGUUAUUAGGGAAGAACAUACGUGUAAGUAACUAUGCACGUCUUGACGGUACCUAAUCAGAAAGCCACGGCUAACUACGUGCCAGCAGCCGCGGUAAUACGUAGGUGGCAAGCGUUAUCCGGAAUUAUUGGGCGUAAAGCGCGCGUAGGCGGUUUUUUAAGUCUGAUGUGAAAGCCCACGGCUCAACCGUGGAGGGUCAUUGGAAACUGGAAAACUUGAGUGCAGAAGAGGAAAGUGGAAUUCCAUGUGUAGCGGUGAAAUGCGCAGAGAUAUGGAGGAACACCAGUGGCGAAGGCGACUUUCUGGUCUGUAACUGACGCUGAUGUGCGAAAGCGUGGGGAUCAAACAGGAUUAGAUACCCUGGUAGUCCACGCCGUAAACGAUGAGUGCUAAGUGUUAGGGGGUUUCCGCCCCUUAGUGCUGUAGCUAACGCAUUAAGCACUCCGCCUGGGGAGUACGACCGCAAGGUUGAAACUCAAAGGAAUUGACGGGGACCCGCACAAGCGGUGGAGCAUGUGGUUUAAUUCGAAGCAACGCGAAGAACCUUACCAAAUCUUGACAUCCUUUGACAACUCUAGAGAUAGAGCCUUCCCCUUCGGGGGACAAAGUGACAGGUGGUGCAUGGUUGUCGUCAGCUCGUGUCGUGAGAUGUUGGGUUAAGUCCCGCAACGAGCGCAACCCUUAAGCUUAGUUGCCAUCAUUAAGUUGGGCACUCUAAGUUGACUGCCGGUGACAAACCGGAGGAAGGUGGGGAUGACGUCAAAUCAUCAUGCCCCUUAUGAUUUGGGCUACACACGUGCUACAAUGGACAAUACAAAGGGCAGCGAAACCGCGAGGUCAAGCAAAUCCCAUAAAGUUGUUCUCAGUUCGGAUUGUAGUCUGCAACUCGACUACAUGAAGCUGGAAUCGCUAGUAAUCGUAGAUCAGCAUGCUACGGUGAAUACGUUCCCGGGUCU